AUUGAACGCUGGCGGCAUGCUUUACACAUGCAAGUCGAACGGUAACAGGCCGCAAGGUGCUGACGAGUGGCGAACGGGUGAGUAAUGCAUCGGAACGUGCCCAGUCGUGGGGGAUAACUACUCGAAAGAGUAGCUAAUACCGCAUACGAUCUAUGGAUGAAAGCGGGGGACCGUAAGGCCUCGCGCGAUUGGAGCGGCCGAUGUCAGAUUAGGUAGUUGGUGGAGUAAAGGCUCACCAAGCCAACGAUCUGUAGCUGGUCUGAGAGGACGACCAGCCACACUGGGACUGAGACACGGCCCAGACUCCUACGGGAGGCAGCAGUGGGGAAUUUUGGACAAUGGGCGCAAGCCUGAUCCAGCAAUGCCGCGUGCAGGAAGAGGGCCUUCGGGUUGUAAACUGCUUUUGUACGGAACGAAACGGCUCUGGUUAAUACCCGGGGCUAAUGACGGUACCGUAAGAAUAAGCACCGGCUAACUACGU
rnacentral:rRNA from 1 species